rnacentral:misc_RNA from 1 species
UUUGAAGGAUCCAGUAGCAACUUGUCGUCACAGCAAGUUGUUCAGGAUUAGAAUCUCAAAUUCUUGAAUGAUUACCCUACGCAUUGCAGGACAAAGCUAAUUGCAAUCCAUCAAGAGAUGACAUUUGAAGUAGUAAGUUGUCAUCACAGCAAGUUUUUCUCGUAAUGCUUAUACCAUUUUCUUUCCCCUUUUUUCCCACCUUAUGCUACAGAUAUAUGAGAUACCAUUUUUGAUACCGCUC